rnacentral:rRNA from 2 species
ACCAGUGGCGGACGGGCGAGUAACACGUGGGUAACCUGCCCUUAAGUGGGGGAUAACAUUUGGAAACAGAUGCUAAUACCGCAUAGAUCCAAGAACCGCAUGGUUCUUGGCUGAAAGAUGGCGUAAGCUAUCGCUUUUGGAUGGACCCGCGGCGUAUUAGCUAGUUGGUGAGGUAAUGGCUCACCAAGGCGAUGAUACGUAGCCGAACUGAGAGGUUGAUCGGCCACAUUGGGACUGAGACACGGCCCAAACUCCUACGGGAGGCAGCAGUAGGGAAUCUUCCACAAUGGACGCAAGUCUGAUGGAGCAACGCCGCGUGAGUGAAGAAGGCUUUCGGGUCGUAAAACUCUGUUGUUGGAGAAGAAUGGUCGGCAGAGUAACUGUUGUCGGCGUGACGGUAUCCAACCAGAAAGCCACGGCUAACUACGUGCCAGCAGCCGCGGUAAUACGUAGGUGGCAAGCGUUAUCCGGAUUUAUUGGGCGUAAAGCGAGCGCAGGCGGUUUUUUAAGUCUGAUGUGAAAGCCCUCGGCUUAACCGAGGAAGCGCAUCGGAAACUGGGAAACUUGAGUGCAGAAGAGGACAGUGGAACUCCAUGUGUAGCGGUGAAAUGCGUAGAUAUAUGGAAGAACACCAGUGGCGAAGGCGGCUGUCUGGUCUGUAACUGACGCUGAGGCUCGAAAGCAUGGGUAGCGAACAGGAUUAGAUACCCUGGUAGUCCAUGCCGUAAACGAUGAAUGCUAGGUGUUGGAGGGUUUCCGCCCUUCAGUGCCGCAGCUAACGCAUUAAGCAUUCCGCCUGGGGAGUACGACCGCAAGGUUGAAACUCAAAGGAAUUGACGGGGGCCCGCACAAGCGGUGGAGCAUGUGGUUUAAUUCGAAGCAACGCGAAGAACCCUUACCAGGUCUUGACAUCUUUUGAUCACCUGAGAGAUCAGGUUUCCCCUUCGGGGGCAAAAUGACAGGUGGGUGCAUGGUUGUCGGUCAGCUCGU